AGCUUGCUCCCAUUUCUCAGCGGCGGACGGGUGAGUAACACGUGGGCAACCUGCCCUACAGACUGGGAUAACUCCGGGAAACCGGAGCUAAUACCGGGUAAUACAUAGCAUCGCAUGAUGCAACGUUGAAAGUUGGCCUUUGGCUAACACUGUAGGAUGGGCCCGCGGCGCAUUAGCUAGUUGGUAAGGUAACGGCUUACCAAGGCCACGAUGCGUAGCCGACCUGAGAGGGUGAUCGGCCACACUGGGACUGAGACACGGCCCAGACUCCUACGGGAGGCAGCAGUAGGGAAUCUUCCGCAAUGGACGAAAGUCUGACGGAGCAACGCCGCGUGAGUGACGAAGGCCUUCGGGUCGUAAAGCUCUGUUGUUAGGGAAGAACAAGUACCGUUCGAAUAGGGCGGUACCUUGACGGUACCUAACCAGAAAGCCACGGCUAACUACGUGCCAGCAGCCGCGGUAAUACGUAGGUGGCAAGCGUUGUCCGGAAUUAUUGGGCGUAAAGCGCGCGCAGGCGGUCUCUUAAGUCUGAUGUGAAAGCCCACGGCUCAACCGUGGAGGGCCAUUGGAAACUGGGGGACUUGAGUGCAGAAGAGGAGAGUGGAAUUCCACGUGUAGCGGUGAAAUGCGUAGAUAUGUGGAGGAACACCAGUGGCGAAGGCGGCUCUCUGGUCUGUAACUGACGCUGAGGCGCGAAAGCGUGGGGAGCGAACAGGAUUAGAUACCCUGGUAGUCCACGCCGUAAACGAUGAGUGCUAGUGUUUGGGGGGGUUCCACCCUCAGUGCUGAAGUUAACACAUUAAGCACUCCGCCUGGGGAGUACGACCGCAAGGUUGAAACUCAAAGGAAUUGACGGGGGCCCGCACAAGCAGUGGAGCAUGUGGGUUUAAUUCGAAGCAACGCGAAGAACCUUACCAGGUCUUGACAUCCUCUGCCACUCC
rnacentral:rRNA from 1 species